UCAUAACUAAAUUUAUGUAGAAAUAUAAAGAAUACAUCUAGCUGAAUGAAAAUACAAACCCCAUUAAAAUUAAAACUAAUCAUGCAAAAAUUUAUAACCAACAUUCCAAAUCAAAGGUUGCAUAGAAACUUGAGAAUGAUGGCAUUUGAUACAUACCGCACACAUUUUGUUCCCCUACACUAAAUUCUUUGAGGAAGAUAGCAUACCAACCCAAUUAAUAUGGCUAAUGAACCUUCUAGU
rnacentral:lncRNA from 1 species